rnacentral:snRNA from 1 species
GCCGCUCACGCCCGGUCGUAC